GAUGAACGCUAGCGGCAGGCCUAAUACAUGCAAGUCGGACGGGAUUCAGGAGCUUGCUUCUGAUGAGAGUGGCGCACGGGUGCGUAACACGUAUGUAACCUACCUUUAUCAGGGGGAUAGCCUCUCGAAAGAGAGAUUAAGCCCGCAUAAAAUCACAGCACAGCAUUGUGUAAUGAUCAAAUAUUUAUAGGAUAAAGAUGGGCAUGCGGAACAUUAGCUAGAUGGCGGGGUAACGGCCCACCAUGGCGACGAUGUUUAGGGGAUCUGAGAGGAUGGCCCCCACAACUGGUACUGAGACCAGGCCCAGACCCCUACGGGAGGCAGCAGAAAGGAAUAUUGGUCAAGGGGCGGAAGCCUGAACCAGCCAUGCCGCGUGCAGGAAGGCGGCCCUUCGGGUUUAAAACUUUUUUUAUAGGGGAAAAAACCCAGAUACGUGUAUUUGGCUAAAGGUACUGAAAAAAUAAGGAUCGGCUAACUCCGU
rnacentral:rRNA from 1 species